rnacentral:rRNA from 1 species
UACGUAGGGUACGAGCGUUAAUCGGAAUUACUGGGCGUAAAGCGUGCGCAGGCGGUUCGUGAUGUCUGGUGUGAAAGCCCCGGGCUUAACCUGGGAAUUGCAUUGGAAACUAGCGGGCUGGAGUGUGGCAGAGGGGGGUGGAAUUCCACGUGUAGCAGUGAAAUGCGUAGAGAUGUGGAGGAACACCGAUGGCGAAGGCAGCCCCCUGGGCUAACACUGACGCUCAUGCACGAAAGCGUGGGGAGCAAACAGG